rnacentral:rRNA from 1 species
UGGGGAAUCUUGGACAAUGGGCGCAAGCCUGAUCCAGCCAUGCCGCGUGAGUGAUGAAGGCCUUAGGGUUGUAAAGCUCUUUUUGCCGGGGACGAUAAUGACGGUACCCGGAGAAUAAGUCCCGGCUAACUUCGUGCCAGCAGCCGCGGUAAUACGAAGGGGACUAGCGUUGUUCGGAAUCACUGGGCGUAAAGCGCACGUAGGCGGAUUUGUAAGUCAGGGGUGAAAUCCCGGGGCUCAACCUCGGAACUGCCUUUGAUACUGCGGAUCUCGAGUCCGAUAGAGGUGAGUGGAAUUCCUAGUGUAGAGGUGAAAUUCGUAGAUAUUAGGAAGAACACCGGUGGCGAAGGCGGCUCACUGGAUCGGUACUGACGCUGAGGUACGAAAGCGUGGGGAGCAAACAGGAUUAGAUACCCCAGUAGUCCCUGAGCGGGCUGGCAAGGCGCAU